GUGAAUCAUCGAAUUUUUGAACGCAAAUUGCACUCUCCGCGUAGAGGAUGCCUGUUUGAUGGUUAGCCUAUAAAAAAUCGACAUCGUUGCUGUUUCGCGGUGUUGUUCGUUGGAUAUUGGCUUAUCUUAGAUCCUCUUGGGUUUUAAUCGUCUUAAAAUUUUCUUUUUGUUUCCAUGUACGUUUCUAAGAUUUAUUUCUUUACACGUUUUAGUUAUCGAUUUUUAUUAGACGUGACCAUCAUAUCGGAUCGCGUCCAUAAUCUUUCACUAACUGACCUCAGACAG
rnacentral:misc_RNA from 1 species